UCUCCCGCCUUCCGCGGGGUGGGAUCGCUGCUCUGCCCUCCCCGGGGCAGGGCUCUGCGGGGCCGGUCGCCCGGCGUGGAGUGGAGCGGCUGGGCGCCGCGCCGCACCGGGCCGAGCCGAGUCGUGCCGUGCCGUGCCAAGCUGCGGCGAUGCUGGGCGCGCUGCUCCUGGCGUGCUGCCUGCUGCUGGGCGGCCGCAGCCUGCCGCGGGGCGACGCCGCCCUCGGCCGAGACGAGCUGCCCUCCCUUCGGAAUAAAGGGAUAUUUAUUAUCCAAAGUUCAGACACCAACUUGUGCAUCAAAGUGGACACAGCUGGCCUGGUUCUGGAAGACUGCAGUCAGCUCUCCAAAAACAUGCUGUGGAAAUGGGUAUCCAAUCGUCGUCUUUUCAACAUAGGCAGAAGUACCUGUCUAGGACUGAACAUCAGUAGACCAGAACAGCCAUUGACUAUGCUUGAAUGUGAUUCAAAUCAGUACUCAUUAUGGUGGAAUUGUGAUGGCAGAGCGCUGGUUGGUGUAUCAGAGUACAAAUUAGCUGUUGAGAACAGCAAACGUAUUGUAGCAAAAAAACAAUCUAAUUAUCAGUGGAUCCAGUACAUGUCCUAUGAUGAAGACCUUUGUGAACAUCCUUUCCAAGAAACGUAUACCUUGCUGGGAAAUUCCUUUGGUUUCCCAUGCGUUUUUCCAUUUAAGUAUAACAACAAGUGGUAUUAUGAAUGUACCAGAGAUGGAAAGGAAUUUGAGUGGUGUGCCACAACAAGUCACUAUGAACAAGAUGAAAAAUGGGGGUUUUGUCCUGGUGCUGCAGAACAUGGCUGUGGCACAUUUUGGAAGGAGAACCCGGCCACGCACGUGUGCUACCAGUUCAACCCAUCAGCCGUGCUGUCAUGGCACGAGGCGCGGGCAGCCUGCCAGGCACAGGGAGGAGACCUGCUCAGCAUCACCAGCCCAGAGGAGCAGAGCUACAUCAGUGACUUGAGCCGACAGUUAAACAUCACAGAUACUGUGCUGUGGACAGGCCUGAAUCAGCUAGAGGAAGGCGCUGGCUGGCAGUGGUCAGAUGGAGCACCACUGGUGUUUGUCAACUGGAGAGCAGAUGUUUCUGAGGACCAUUCUAGUGAAAAUCAUUGUGCAGUGAUGAGUUCAAAAUUGAAAUAUGGCUGGAAAAGUUACUUAUGUGAAUCUGGAUUUCCUUUUGUAUGCAAGAAAUAUUUAAAUAAGACAGAGCAUGAAACACUGGAUACAUGGAAGUAUUAUGCCACUCGUUGUGAUGCUGGCUGGUACCCAUACAAUCGCAACUGCUACAGACUUCAUAAAGAGGGGAAGAGCUGGAAUGAUGCUUUGAUCUCAUGCCAAAGUGACAGCAGUGGGCUCAUUAGUAUAUCCUCCAUGGCAGAUGCAGAGCUGCUCCAUAACUUGCUUCAACGCGAAAACGUAACUGAAACAUGGAUUGGAUUAUAUAGUAGUAACAUCUCAGAUGUUUUUGAGUGGUCAGAUGGCAUCCCAGUGAAAUUUUCCUACUGGCACAGCCAAGAACCUAAUACCUUUCAAAGAAUAGGACAACUGUGUGUUUCAGCACAAGGACCUGAGGGAUACUGGAAAGUUAAAAAAUGUGAAGACAAAUCUUUCUACGUUUGUAAAAAAGCAGGAGAAAUUAACACUGUUUCUUCUGAUGCAGAAUCGAGUUGUCCAGAGGGAUGGGAAAGACAUGGUGGAUAUUGUUACAAAAUCGACAGUACCCCUCGAAGUUUUGAACAUGCUUCCAGUGGUUAUUUCUGCCCAUCUGCACUUGUAUCAGUAACAAACAGGUUUGAGCAAGCUUUUAUUACCAGCAUGAUCCGUAGUGUGGUAAAAUCGGAGAGAACUUAUUUUUGGAUAGGACUGCAAGACCUUAACAACACAGGAGAAUACUUUUGGCUAACAACAGAUGGGAAAAACCACUCUGUAAGCUACACAAACUGGAACAAGCAUCAGCCACGUCAUUCUGGAGGAUGUGUGGCAAUGCGAGGGCAGGACCCUGUUGGUUAUUGGGAGGUAAAAAGCUGUAAGAACUUCAAAGCAAUGUCAUUGUGCAAGCAAAAAGUCAAUUCUUAUGAAGAACCUGAACUUACUUUUCAAAGACAUUUGAGUUCCUGCUACUUUGGAUGGGAGUCAGAAGGCAAUCUACUCAACUGCUACAAGAUAUUUCACAGAGAGAAAGUUCUGAUGAAAAGAACAUGGAGUGAAGCAGAAGCAUUAUGUCAAGAUUUUGGAGCACAUCUUGCCAGUUUUUCCCAUGUCUAUGAAGAGACUUUUUUAAACAAUUUAUUAUAUACAAUUUUUGAUAGGACAGAAGAAAGGCAGUUCUGGAUUGGGUUUAAUAAAAGAAACCCAUUUUCUGGAGGGACAUGGCAGUGGUCUGACAGAACACCUGUUGUAGCUUCAUUUCUGGAGAGCAAGUAUGUUGAAGAUGACUCAAGAAACUGUGGUGUAUUCAGAGUAAAUAGAACAGUUUUUCCAGCACACUGCAAUGAAAAGCGUGAAUGGAUAUGCAAAAUACCAAAAGGUGUUAAACCAAAGAAUCCAGAUUGGUACAUAGCUGAACUGCCGUGGUCGUACUACCAAGGAGCGGAGUAUCUUUUUCACGUGAAUCCUACAGACUGGGACACCUAUGAGUUCAUUUGUGUCUGGCUUCGUAGUGAAAUGGCAACAAUAAAUUCUGCUGAUGAGCAAGCAUUUAUUGAAAAUAAAAUUAAGAAGCUGUCGGAUAGUGAUGUUCACUGGUGGAUUGGACUGCAUGCAGAAAACAUCAGCAGUGAAUUUCGCUGGAAGGAUGAAUCACUAAUAACAUACCAGAAUUGGAAUGAAGGCAGAGAUCGAUAUCUGCAUAAACCGGGGAAAAGAUGUGGCUUCAUUUCAUCACAAACAGGACGCUGGGAUGAUGAAAACUGUACUGUUUCUCUUCCCUGUAUUUGUAAACGUAAAAAUGCUUGGAAAAUAGAGAAAGAGAUUCCAAAAGACCAGAAUCCACAAGGAAUGUGUCCCAAGGGCUGGCUGCACUUUGGAUUUAAAUGCUUUUUGAUACAAAUCCCAAAGGAUCCAGAGCACCUGAGGAGCUGGUACUCUGCACAGACAUUCUGCAGUAGGUACGAUGGGUCCCUCGCUUCCCUUGAAGAUGAACUGGAACAAGCUUUCAUAACAAUGAAUCUAUUUGGUCGCAAAACUAGUGUUUGGAUAGCUUUCCAGGGUGAUGAUUAUGAAAAAUGGAUGAAUGAAAAUCCUCCAAGGUAUUCCAACUGGUCUCCAAUUGAAGCAGUGCAUAGACCGCGUUAUAACAGUGUCUACGUUGAAGAACAAGUUCCACUUUGUACACUGGUAUCAAAUAACCCUAAUUUUUAUUUUACGGGAAAAUGGUACUUAGAAAACUGUGAGAAAAAUUACGGGUUUGUCUGCCAAAAAAGGCAGGACACAUCCAGGCAUAUCGUCAAUGCAUCUGAAAUGUACCCUGUGCCAGAUACUUUACAGUAUGCAAACAGAACAUAUACCCUAAUACGUGGGAAUUUGACAUGGUCUGCAGCUUUAAAAACUUGCAUGGCAAAUGGAGCUGAGCUGGUCAGCAUUGCAGAUCAGUACCACCAGGCUUUUCUCACAAUCAUUGUGAAUCGGCUGGGAUACAACCACUGGAUCGGGCUGUUCACUGCAGAUAAUGGGCUUAAUUUUGAGUGGUCAGAUGGGACUAGAUCCUUGUUUACCUUCUGGGAAGAUGAUGAGUCUCAGGCCUUGGGCAGCUGUGUUUAUAUGGAUACCUCAGGGCACUGGAAGAGUACAAGCUGUGAACAACUUCUGCCAGGAGCAGUCUGCCAUGUGCCACCAAAGAAGAAACUCACUGAGUAUAAAGGCUUAUGUUCAGAAAAACAUGUUCCCUGGAUCAAAUUCAAAAAGAGUUGCUACAGCUUUAACACCGUUCUGCAGGGCACAAGCUUUGAUGCUGCAUAUGAAGUCUGCAGAAAUCAAGGAUCUAAUCUUCUAACUAUUGAAGAUGAAGAUGAAAAUGCCUUCAUUCUGGAGGAGUUGCACAGUUUUAGUUAUUCUGUGAAAGUGGUUUGGCUGAAUGUCCUGCAUGUUACAGACAAUGAAACAGUUUCCUGGUUUGAUGGCUCUCCCUUAAAUUAUUCUAACUGGGGCAUCAGGGAGCCUGAAUUUGAUCAUCUUAAGGGGAAUUUCUGUAUCAGCCUGAGGACUGCAGAUGGUGUAUGGCAAAUAUCUCCAUGCAGAGAAAUAAAGGGAUUUGUUUGUAAAAAGAAUGCAGAUCUUAAUGCAGCAGAACCCUCUGAAAAAUCAUCAUACUCUGGACUUGCUGCUCUGGCUGUUCUGGUAACGUUGGUGAUGCUGGCUGCCAUUUCCAUUUUUCUGUGGUGCCUCUACAAACAGAACAACAGAUUCUUCCAUAGAAUACUGUGGGUUAGAAAUGCUUAUUUUCCACAGAUUAAUUCUGAUGUUCCUGCUCUGGAAGAAAGUAUUCUUAUUUCUGAUUUUGAGAAAGAUGACAAUUAAUCAAUGGGGAGAACCGAGUGGUCAUGUAUUCCAUGUUAAUUUCCAUGUCCUACAGUGUUUUUGUUCUUAUGAGCCAGUUGCUGUCCAAGAGCAGCUCCACUUGUUAGCUGGUGGUGAGAACACCUACGUGGUGCUGGAAGAACAGAGAGCAGCAAAGCAGCAGCUGCUGCUCUUUCCCUCCUUGUGAAUUUGUUGCAGCAAAGUUUCUGAAAGGUUUCCAUAGUGAGCAGUGAGGAGCUGAGCACCAGACACACCUACUCCCACAGGCACCAGACCCAGGCUUCCUUGGUGGCAGAAGGUCUGUGCUCCCUUCUCAGGAGACUCAGGGUAUGUGCUUCUGGAGGAACCCUUGCACUCUGGUUGGAGAGUGCGCAGGGGCUGCUGCACUUGGACCUCUUCUGCUUUGUAGUAGAAUGUGGUGAGAAUGCACAGAGCCAUGGGAAAAUUGGCUUCUUUGGGAAAAGCUGUGAACUAAAAAUGUUCCAAUACCACAAAUCUCAAACCGCUCACGUGGAGCAGUCAUAUCUGUGCCUCCAGGCAGAGGACGUUUCCAUGCAGCUUCUUCCCUUGGGAAUAUUUGGGCCCCUUUGCUUUUGUUUUCAUAUCAAAAAAGCUGCUCGUGAGCCAGUGUUAAAACUUGUCCUUGAAUUUAGGAACUCUGAAACCUACUCCAAAGCUUAUGGAGUAGUUCUUCCUGAUACCUAUUCCAUCCAUAGAAUGUACUUUUUCAUAUGGUGGAUUCUUAGCAGGUGGACUUCCAAGUUUGCUGAGAUGAAGUUACUUUUGUUUGGGAGUGUCAGUGUUGCCAUGAUGGCUUGUUUACAUUAUGAAAUACCUUAGGCUUGAGAUACAGAAGUGUAUGGAUAUUGUUGUCCUGAAGUUAAUACAUUCAGUAGAGAUACUUCUGGUGCUGCACUUCUAGAGAAACAAUGUUCUCUCUCACCUCGAUCUCUUCAGAAACUGAAUCUCAUCAGACUCUUUCAAAGAUGCUUUGGAGCAGUAUCUGUUUGAAGGAAAACAUUACUAUAAAUCUUGUUAAAGUUAUGGUAAUAAAUUGCUUUACUGUUCACUUACAGUGCAACUUCAAGCAGUGUUUAUGUAUGUUCUUCUGAAACCCUGCUCUCCACACGUAAGGGUGAUACAAGGGAGAGCCACACCUGCAGUUGACAAACGGUGCUGUACUCCCUUGUCCAAGUCCUGUGAUCCCAUAUCACACACCCUCAAGGGCCACAUUUCACUUUCACUGGUAUUUCACUUUCACUGGUCGUUACCAAGGUGCUAAUGGUGUUAAUACCAUCUUUCACUGGUCAGUUGUUCUCCUGGCUAAUGGCUGUGCAAGACCCACAGAUUCAGGUCACGGUUCUCGAUGGUGAAUGAGUUCUAUGGACUCCCACCACUCUACCCAGUCCUCCAGUUACUUCUGUGAAAAUAUCAAAACCUUUUAUGGAGGACUUCUAAAUUAUUUCUAUUGUAAAGUGGAGAAAAACAAAACAAAUUGUUGAUCACAAAGAGUUACUGGAGUAUUGAAUCACAUUUGUCAUCUCUAAAAGCUGCUAUGAAGGGCUGUGCAUGUUGUUGUGUUGGUUUGUUAUGGGAUGACUCAUUCUAAAAACUUUGCAGGAACCCUAAAAUGGAGAUAUGUUUGUGAAAAUUCAGUAACCAGACAAGGCCAAAUGCCAUGUUCUUAUUUGUGCACAUACAGGGGAAUGUAUGACUUCUUUCCUGUUAGAUUUCAUGUAGCAAUUCUUUAGACGUGACCAAAUAAAUAAUGUAUUUUCAUGUUAUAAUUAUGUAUAAGGUUAUAUUUUUCUUAAUUAUUUAGUACAUAGGAUACUUCUAUACUGGUUUACAGGAUACAGAAAUGUGGUUGAAGAGACUGCAGAUGCAUCGAUGCAUCUUAUCAGUAUAUAACAAAAAAAGUGACCAACUCUCCUUUCCCCAUGAGAAUUUUGCCUGUUUAAAUUUCAGCUGGAGGAGCCUAAACAGCCAUCUUCCAUUCAUCACAUUCACUGACAAGUGUAUAUGUUGCCUUUUUGCAGCAGAGUGACUUGAAGGAUGCUUUUUGCUUGCAAAAUUGUAAAAUAUUUUGUCUCAGGACGUGCAUUUAUCAGACUACUAUGCUGUUACCUAGUUAUGCAUAUGCUGUCACAUUUUGACAUUGUUAAUGAAGGUGUAUAUUUUUUCAAAAAACCUGACAUGGAUACUUCAUCAAUUUUCCUUGAAGUAUGUUGUAGUCAUUUUAAUGUAUCUAAAGGGCAGUUGUAUAAUAAAUAACCCUAACAUCAGAAUAGAGAAUGUUAACACUGACUGUGAUGUAGGUGAUCUUGGAUCAAGGCAAUAGUACUUCAAGAAGUGUUUUCUUCAUACGUUGAAAAUAAUCUGCAGUUGACAAAGUCAUAAGUGUCAUAAGUAGAAACAGUGUCAUAAAGUGUUUAUUUUAAAAUCUUUUGUCAUUUAACUUUUCUAAUUGCAGGUGCUACUCACUUAAGGAUGUUAUUGCUGAUUACUUCCUAUUUGUUUUUCUAAAUAUAAGAAAAAUCUUACAGUGAGAACCAUUACUUUCUGGAAUAAUGUCCUUGGGGAUGUGAUAAUUCACAUCGCUGUAGGGUUUCAAGAUGCAGUUGGACAUGGUACUAGGCAAUCCCAUCCAGACUUCCUUUUCCUGUGAAAAGUUGAACCUGAUGACCUUUAAGGUCCCUUCCACCUGGUCUGUUCUAUGAUUCUAUGGAUUUUACCUUAGCUUCCAUUUGUUUUUCCUUAACUCAAGAUCCUCUAUCCCAUUCCUGCUCGGAGUACUUGUUGGCUACAUUUUUCAUGGGUGACUAUGAUAGUAACAGCAGUGAGGUUCACUGUGUUACUUCAACUAGGAAAUUAAAGCAUAAUAACUUUUUGGGCUGCAGAUUUUCUUUUGCCAGCUUUAGUGUCUCCCAGCAGCAGUUCCCAGGCUUUGCUCCAGGUUACAGUGUUAGGAGAGGGGCAGCUGGCACCAGGCUGCUGCUUUCUGGCUGCUCUCCUCCAUUCCUCCCUCCUCCUUCCCUAGCCUUUGCAUGUGUGCACACUUUCCUGUGUCUGGCUCCGGAUGAGAGGCCGUGAGGCUUCUUAGGUCUGUGCACCUCAGUCCAGAGGGAGUGUAGGAAAGAAAUACUUUUUUGUACUGUGUGCAACUUAACUCACUCUGCUUCCCUGGGUGCUGCUGCACAAACUUAAUUUAGACCCCCCCUACAUUUUUCUUCCAUCGCACUGCCCCUCCUUUAGUACAGCAACAGGCAUCCUCAGUCUCUUGUAAUAAUAAACCCACUGUAAUGAAAUUGUGACAUACUUUUCCUACAGACCAGGUUUAUAUUAGCAGGUUUUUUUGAUGAAAAGCUAAAUUUGGCAUUUGGCAACUAUUUUCAAAAUUCUUAGCUUUAAAACAAACAAACAAAAAAAAAACCCCACUCUUCUUGAGCUAUAAUAAUAUUUCCUUUGGGUAAUCAGUGGAAUGUUGAUUUUAAAACUCUAAGGAUCAGUGCUGACCUCACAAUCUGUUGCAGUCCUUGAGGAAGUCGCUGGCAGGAGCAGCUUGCUCUGCUGACAUGGUUUGAGUUAACAUAGAGCUUUGUGAUCAGAAGCACGAUCCCAGUCUGGCCGGUAGAUGGUGCACACAGAGCUGACAAAAUGGCGAAGUGAGCCCUUUGCAAGUCACAGGGAUUUGCUAGGGAUCUUCCUUGAAAUUUAGUUAAACGAGCAGCAAAACUUCCGAAUUUCAACCCUCUGCAGAUGUCAGCAUCCUUUAAACCUGCCUCCUACAAUACAAAGCUGUCUUAUGAUGUCUUCUCAAAGCUCAUUCUCUGAAUACAUCAAAAUUCUGUAUGUUGUUCACACCUUAAGAGCUGCCAAUCUCUUUCUAUAUCCAUUAUCUCUUUGCAGAGUGACUGUGAUUUGGAUUCUGAUCUUAGAACCUGGAGUGCUUGAAGGUAGCACCAUGGUAAUUUAUAACCUGAUUUUGAACUGCAGAGACUUCUGAAAGCACGAGGCUGGAUAAUAGUGAGAAUUCUGCUGCUGUUUCCUUUAUUUCCAAUGGUUACUUUUGUUUGUUGGGUUGUUGCUCUUUUCUCAAACUUAACCAAUAAGGCAGCUUUCCAUUCUGAUUCUUGGAAAUAAAUGCUUCAGACCAUAGUUUUAGUAGAAAGGCAGCUAACCUGUAGGUACAAGAUAAGUAGAGUUAAUGCAUAGCUGGCUAAAAUUUAUGUUCCUCUGCAUGCCAGCAGAGGAAAAUGGGGAAAACUUUCUCCGAAUUGGUUUUUCAGAUGACCAGGUGUAUUUUUGCAUUUUUCUUACGUGGAUCUUCAUUUUGAAAAACUAGAAGGUUCUAAUCAUGCUACAGGAAAAAAGUCUCUGUUUAUUCUGUAUUUUUUUUUCUUCAGUGUAUACUGAAAAUUAUCUCACCAAGCUACAUAUUCAGGCCAUUUUUUUUUCCUGAAGUGUGAUCAUAAACCUUUGAACCCAGUAAUAACCUGAUUAAAUCUGCUUUGCUACUUCCUCCUGCCAUAAACUCUGUGUGUAUUGCAGCUGAGAAGCAUCAGGAAAGUCCUUGCUGGGAGCUGAGAGCAGGCAUGCACACAGCUGAGGGAAGAACUGAUUCUUACCUCAUCAGCAGCUUUGUGCUGCACAACUUCACUGACGCUUGAUGUGGGACUGCAUCCUAGAGCUUGAUGCUUCAUUCAGAUUUGUUUUGUGUUUCCAGUUUAGUCACAGACCCAAGAGAUGGCCUCAUGGUCAAUAUAACAGUACCAAAAGAAAGAAGAUGGCUCAUGUGUCAUCUCCCAAAACCAGAGAGGUAAGAGAAACCCUUCAGAGCCCAAGGUUUUCUUUCUCAAUCUAGAGACAAAGAAAAUCAAUAGAAAUCUGAAAAAGGCUGGAGCUUCAGCUCAGGUGUUCUAAAAGACAAGGACACCCACAGCAGGCACAAGGCUUAAUUUAAGGUGCAUAUUGCUGUGUUAGUUCUCAUGUUUAUUAUUUUUAUGAUUGCAUCCUAAAGCAACUGCUUUUUUGAUCCAUUAGCUGCUGCUUGGGGAAAGAAAAAUAAAGCUUGCAUAGAAAAUAACAAAAUUUUCUGGCUGGAGGCCAAAACUUCACAAGAGAAGGCUGAGGCCUAAUAUGUUUUGUUUAAGGUCUUUGUUUCUGGUAGAUGUUGACUAGAUUCCGGAUGAUGAGGGCACUUCGAACGAAGCCAGCUGGGGAAGUCAGUUAGUUAAGUAUUAACCCUCUGAGGAGUAGAUUGAACUGUGCACAAGAAACAUUCUGAGAAAACAUGAAAAGUAGUGUAGAUUUCUUCCAAGAAAGAAGUACUGUGGCUUGUAUUUAUAUCAGAAAAGGUAGAGACAAUUUGUUGUAUACGUGACUGAAUUCCUCAAGCUGGGUAACUGUCCAGAACUCAUUUUCUCCCUUAGCAUACUUCAGCAGUCCCAUGGCUGAAAUAAGCCUAAUGUUCAGGAAUUGCUUUAGGGAAUUAGUAGAAGUUAGGCAAUUAGUGUGAUAUAAAUUGUAGAGGUGAAAAAAAGACUGUUGUGAGCCCUGCUGGACAUGCUGUAAUAAUGCGAAGUAGGAUUUCACAGGUGUAAACUGGGAGAGGAACACUGAACUCUAUACUCUGCUUUAGAAAAUGUUUUUCUAAAAGUAUUGUGAUAAAUAUUCAGAUAUCUAAUGUAAAAAAAAAAAAAAAA